rnacentral:rRNA from 1 species
ACUCCUACGGGAGGCAGCAGUGGGAAUAUUGACACAAUGGGCGAAAGCCUGAUGCAGCGACGCCGCGUGAGGGACGACGGCCUUCGGGUUGUAAACCUCUUUCAGUAGGGAACAAGGCAUCAUUUUUGUGGUGUUGAGGGUACUUGCAGAAGAAGCACCGGCUAACUACGUGCCAGCAGCCGCGGUAAUACGUAGGGUGCAAGCGUUAUCCGGAAUUAUUGGGCGUAAAGAGCUCGUAGGCGGUUUGUCGCGUCUGUCGUGAAAGUCCGGGCUCAACUCCGGAUCUGCGGUGGGUACGGGCAGACUAGA